CUCUCUCUCUCUCUCUCUCUCUCUCUCUCAUUCUUUAUCAGAGAAAAGGGGAAAAAACCUUAGAGUUGUGAAGAACCACCGCUGCUAUCUCUCGUUCUUCAUCAGACAAAAGUGGAAGAAAAACUCGUAGAUCUCUUCACCUACCGCUACAUCUUUCCCUCUCUAUCGUUCUCAUCUUCAGAACUGGGAGAAAAGAGCCGAUCAUUAAAAGGCCUAAAGAUCUCUUUUUUCAGCCUAUCGGUGUUCAGAUCUACCCAUUUUCUGCCCAUCUGAAUCACGCAAUUGCCAUCAAAGCAAAAAUUAAGGUAAAGAUUUGUGUUUUGAAUAAAAAUUAAUUUUUUUAUCAGUUAGACUCUUAUUUUGGCACAUGAUGUGAAGAUUUUUCAAUUUAAUUCACCUAGGCUAAUGUUCUAUUUUAUGCUCAUAUUUUAGUCAGAUCACAACUAUGAUGAAUGUCACAUAAUUCUGCGAAAUGUUUUAUUAUCAACUAUAGUGUUAGUUUGAUACAUGUUGUGUUAAAUUUCAUGCUCAAUUUUUUUUAUUAAACUGGUCUAUUGUUCAAUUAUAUGCUCAAAUUUGUUUUGCCUUUCACCUAGACUGUUAGCUUGUAAUUUUCAAUUUUUUGUGAAUGAUCGUUAUUUGAAGAAUUGUUUAUAUAUUUUUAUGAAGUAGACUAUUAGUUUGUUACAAGUUGUGUUCAAUUUCAUGAUCAUAUUUUUUUUAAUAAUUGUUGGAAUUUUUUUAUGAAGUAGACUAUUAGUUUACUACAAGUUGUGUUCAAUUUGUCUAAUACUUGUAUAUUUUUUCAACAUGCCCAUAUGCUUCACUGGACUGAGAAGCUAUCUCAGGUUAUGCAAUCACAUAAAGGUGAAUACAGUGAAUUGGUUCUUAAUAAGUUACAUGAUAAACUUUUUAGAGAUGAGAACGAGGCAAGGUACUUUAUAGGUAAAUUUGUGGAGAUUCAGUCUAGGUAUCUUGCCACGUUUGUGAAGGAUAAUGGGCUAGAUGUUGAAGGCAUCUGAUCCACAUAGAAGUGUUUUUGUUUUGGUUGAUACUUUUGUUUUUUGGGUGCUUUACAUGUCUAACCAUUGCAUGUUUAUAUUUGCACAGAUCCUUCACCAUCUGUGAUUACUUUUGUGACACUUUAAUAUGCAUCGGGACAAAUAUAAAUGAGGCACUGUUAUUGUUAAUGAUGAUUUGUAAUAUAUUUAUUACUAAUGGCUAUGCUUUAUAUGUAACAUAGUGUAUGAUCCUGCUCAUAUCUGUUGAACUCAUUUUCAUGUUAAUUAUGUUGCUCUAUACCUCAGUUUGAUCCUACACUUAAUUGUAUUUACACAGUUGUGUUCAAUUUCAUACAAGAUUGUGCUUUUUGCAAUCAAUAUAUGAUGUGAGCAUAAGCUCUUUCAGGAGACAAAGUUAUUGUGCUAAUUCAAGAUUCAGAUAUCGUUCUUUGUGGAUUCAGAGAACACCCAUUGGUGGAUUCCGAGGUUAUCACUUUCACGCUGUGUCAGGUAUGUUGCACAACCCCAGAAAUAUUUUCCCCCAUUCUUUCCAUUCUUGCAGAGCUUCAAUGGAGUGAGAAUGAUGCAAAAAUAUCUAACUUCAUGUGCAUGAAACCCUUCUGAUUUCAUCAUCUUAUAACAAACUAAUAUUUGUGUUUGUUUUGGGUUGGAACAAACUGCAAAUGCAAGAUUCUUAAAAUGUUUCACGGCUGCCAAGGUAUACAUUUAGUCUAUUUAUAAACAAGUUUGUGCUCAAAUGCUUUUCUCCCUCACUGGUCCCUCUUGUUAUUGUUGGUUUUCUGAUUGUUGGUGAGUUUUUUACCGUUGGUGCUCUAACAUGCCCGUUUCUUUGUUUUAUUAAGUGGUUUUGGUUUCUAUAAUGGCCUUUUUCUCACUGAUUUCUAGAUUCAAACUGAGAUUUUAUUGGCCUUUUUCUCACUGAUUUCUAGAUUCAAACUGAGAUUUUAUUGGCCUUUUUCUCACUGAUUUAUGGAUUCAAACUGAGAAUUUAUUUCACCUGUUCAUAUUGUUGGCUCAAUUGUAACCCAUGUGAUUGACAAAUGCUUCAGCUUGUUGUGUAAUUAUAUGUUGGCUGCAAACUGAUUAUAUGUUGGCUCAACUAUAACUCAUUUUAGCAAUUUCUCAUCUUUGUUUAGUCCAUAUCUUGCUUCAUGAACUAAAUCUUUGUUGCUGUGUGUGUUUGGAAGUUCAUCGAGGGUUCCCUUGUUGCCUGCAAAUUUUUUUUGAUGGAUCCAAACUAAGAAUUGUUUUCAGCUCUCAUAUUUAUAUGUCAUUGUUAUUCAGGUUAUGAACACUCAAUUCAUGACAGUUUUCUAUUUGAUUUUGUUGUUAAUAAUUGGGCUAUGAUGAUGGUAUUGCUUUGAGAACGCAUUGUAAGAUUUGCAAUCAAAGUUUCAUGUUGCAUAUGUUUAGGCGAAGCAAUUUUUUACACCCUACAAUGCUAAUACAUAAACUUUGGUGUGGCAUACGAUGAUGAAAUAAAUUUAUCUGAGCCCAUCAUUGUUUGAGUACACUUUGCUAUAUGACUUCUAAUAUGUGUAUUCUUUGAUAUGUUGCAGCUUCACCAUUUCUACAACCCAUGUUGUUGACAAAUGCUUCAGUUUCUUUUGUAAAUAUAUGUUGGCUGCUAAAUCUAUGAUGGUUUGUAAAUAUUGUUCAUAUUUGUAAAUAUAUGUUAUUUGAGCUCAUCAUUGUUUGGGUUCAUCUUUGUUCA